rnacentral:rRNA from 1 species
GGUAUUGAAAUAAGAUUUUAAAUGAGUGCUAAGAGAAUGAUUAAACAAUUAAAAGCUUUCUUUAAUUAAAAAAUUAAAUUUAAUUUUUUAGUGCAAAAGCAAAAAUAAAAUUUAGGGACAAGAAGACCCUAUGAAUUUUUAUUGUUAAUAAUUAAUAUUUAAGUUAUUAAUAAUUUAAUUGGGGCGAUAAAAAAAGAAUAAGUAUCUUUUUAGUUAUAAAAUAAGUUCCGUUUUUAGCGAUUAAAUGAAAUAAAUACUCUAGGGAUAACAGCGUAAUAAUUUUGGAUAGUUCAUAUAGAUAAAAUAGUUUGCGACCUCGAUGUUGGAUUAGGAUUCUUUUUUGGUGAAGAA